rnacentral:tRNA from 1 species
GGUCCGGUAGCUCAGUUGGUUAGAGCACGAGCCUCUUAAGCUUGGUGUCGAGAGUUCGAGUCUCUCCCGGAUCACCA